rnacentral:rRNA from 1 species
UACAGAGGUCUCAAGCGUUGUUCGGAUUCAUUGGGCGUAAAGGGUGCGUAGGCGGCGCGGUAAGUCGGGUGUGAAAUCUCGGAGCUUAACUCCGAAACUGCAUUCGAUACUGCCGUGCUUGAGGACUGGAGAGGAGACUGGAAUUUACGGUGUAGCGGUGAAAUGCGUAGAUAUCGUAAGGAAGACCAGUGGCGAAGGCGGGUCUCUGGACGACCCCUGACACUGAGGCACGAAAGCUAGGGGAGCAAACAGG